AUAUGGGUACAGAGUACUUUUCCACAUUAAGUUUCAGUGAGUAUUUAUCUUCCAUGUAGCUGACGUUCAGUUGGCCCUUCCGGCAAAGAGAAGAAGGCGCACAGUGAAUGCAGAUAAUUCUCCCAACGCUACCAAGGAGAAAUUUGAGCAGAUCUUGAAAGUGCAAAAAGAGCAAUGGCAAAAUAUCCGCUACAGCUAUUCUCGGCAGUUCCUGACUUUCUUUGAAGAGUGGGACACGGGUGUGCGGAAAAACCGCGAAACAGCAGGAAAGACUAACUAGGAUGCUUCACGACCACCGAAGGCUUUUCCUGCAAGCUAAAAAUGUUCAAAUGGAGACGCUGACUACAGUUAAGAACCUGUAUGAGGAAUUCGUAAAGGGUAUCAACGACUUGGAGCUGAGCCAGCAAAGCCUGCUUACUGAUGAGCAAAAGAAGCUCAAAAACGAAAUUGGCAUCUUGAAGAACAAAAUUAUUGCUGCAACUGAGCAACAGCAAGAGUUGGCGAGUAUUCAACAAUCUCUGCAAGCCAUGCUGCUUCUAUGAAUCUGAAGAAGGAACUUCCACUCAAGUUCUGUCUGAAAGUCCAACGUUAGCUACACUAAUUCAAGUUCUCGCAGAUAUAAGCACAUCUUCUUUGUCACUAGUUCGUUGUGAAAUGCAAGACCAUGU